UACGUAGGUGGCAAGCGUUGUCCGGAUUUACUGGGUUUAAAGGGUGCGUAGGCGGGUUGAUAAGUCAGUGGUGAAAUACUAUCGCUUAACGAUGGAACUGCCGUUGAUACUAUCAAUCUUGAAUACAGUGGAGGCGGGCGGAAUGUGUCAUGUAGCGGUGAAAUGCUUAGAUAUGACACAGAACACCUAUUGCGAAGGCAGCUCGCUACACUGUUAUUGACGCUGAUGCACGAAAGCGUGGGGAUCAAACAGG
rnacentral:rRNA from 1 species